rnacentral:rRNA from 1 species
GAUGAACGCUGGCGGCGUGCCUAAUACAUGCAAGUCGAGCGAACGGACGAGAAGCUUGCUUCUCUGAUGUUAGCGGCGGACGGGUGAGUAACACGUGGAUAACCUACCUAUAAGACUGGGAUAACUUCGGGAAACCGUAGCUAAUACCGGAUAAUAUUUUGAACCGCAUGGUUCAAAAGUGAAAGACGGUCUUGCUGUCACUUAUAGAUGGAUCCGCGCUGCAUUAGCUAGUUGGUAAGGUAACGGCUUACCAAGGCAACGAUGCAUAGCCGACCUGAGAGGGGGAUCGGCCACACGGGAACUGAGACACGGUCCAGACUCCUACGGGAGGCAGCAGUAGGGAAUCUUCCGCAAUGGGCGAAAGCCUGACGGAGCAACGCCGCGUGAGUGAUGAAGGUCUUCGGAUCGUAAAACUCUGUUAUUAGGGAAGAACAUAUGUGUAAGUAACUGUGCACAUCUUGACGGUACCUAAUCAGAAAGCCACGGCUAACUACGUG